rnacentral:lncRNA from 1 species
GUGCCUGAUUAACACUGACUUUGUGUCUCUUCAGUAUAUAUUGAUCAUGUAUUGAUUAAUCUUUAAUUUUUUUUAUAUUUCAGUCAGAUAAGUUCCUAUGUAUAUAAUGGAGUACUUCUCGUUUGAACUACACUAUAAUAUCUGCAUGAUUAUACAGUAGGGAAAAGAAAGAAAGAACUAUAAUAGGCCUAGUAAAUGUUUUUUGUUGAUUAUCCUGCCACUCUCGCAGAUGCUACACAUUGCCACCACACAUACAUACUUUCAUGAGACAGAUUAUCUGAUUUGGUCAUUAUCUAUCUAGUUCCCAUUCUUAACUCUUCAGGUUUUUCAAUUACAGCAUAGUGUAUUCUUUUUACCUCACUGUUGAUUAGCAUCUCUUACAGAAGGUGGUCAAGGGAAGUAAAACAAUUAAAGGUAAAACUCAGUUUUCAGUUUAUUCUUGAAAGCUCUGGAGAAAUAGGAAAACAGAGACGAUGAGGUAAGCUAGAACUGUUGAUUCCUGAAUCCCAGACCAUUCAGUUGGCCUGUAUUUUAUGUCUUGCUUUAUUGUGAGGUUUAGGGCAAAACCUUACAGUGCCACAUUUGCAAUG